rnacentral:rRNA from 1 species
CUACGGGUGGCUCCAGUAGGGAAUUUUCGGCAAUGGGGGAAACCCUGACCGAGCAACGCCGCGUGAAUGACGAAGUACUUCGGUAUGUAAAGUUCUUUUAUUAGGGAAGAAUGGCAGGUGGAAAAACCUGAUUGACGGUACCUAAUGAAUAAGCCCCGGCUAACUAUGUGCCAGCAGCCGCGGUAAUACAUAGGGGGCAAGCGUUAUCCGGAAUUAUUGGGCGUAAAGGGUGCGUAGGUGGUUAUUUAAGUCUUUGGUGUAAGUGCAGUGCUUAACGCUGUGAUGCUAAAGAAACUGGGUAACUCGAGUGUGGUAGAGGCAAGUGGAAUUCCAUGUGUAGCGGUAAAAUGCGUAAAUAUAUGGAGGAACACCAGUGGCGAAGGCGGCUUGCUGGGCCACAACUGACACUGAGGCACGAAAGCGUGGGGAGCAAACAGGAUUAGAUACCCUCGUAGUC